ensembl:lncRNA
CCCACAUAUCUGUGGGCAAGAUGCAAACCUCAAGUUGCUCUCCAGUGGUGGGUGACUGUUAGUUAGAAAGCACUUAAAAGCAUAGAAAAAAGUGAAUGUUGCAUGUUGCAGUUUUCUUGCAGUGCAUUUGACCUCUCAGGGCACGUACUAGUGAUGUGUCGGUCGGGAACGAAAUGGCUCUUUGACGUGAACGACGCGAGCCGGCUCCUUAUUGCGAGCAGGGGGGGGCUAUAUUUCUUUCUCUCACCCUCUCUCUCUCACUUUUUUACCGCGUCACUCCGCACGCGAGCCUUGUGCUUGCGCUGGGCAGAGGGGGGGGGCGGUAGUUACACUCUCAGUAGCUCAGGAACAGAGCGGGAGGGAGAGAGAGAGAGAGCCAGGGACAACAACGUCACAUUAGAAAGGUAUAGUAAUCAUCCACAACUAUUUUCAGUUGCAGAUGAUAAAGGAUUCAGAAAGUUUAUUCAUGCAGGUCCAUAUGACAGAGAAUGUGCAUCUUCUUUUUGUUUUCAUAUUAUAAUUUAUAUUUAAUUGUGUUGUGGUUUGGAGUGUUUUGUGUUGUUUCAUUUUUAAUUUGUUUAAAAGGAAAAAGCUGAAAAUUUGAAUAGUUAUAAGUUGAACUGGGAAUAGUUCGUUUUUGUAUUAUAUGAUUUGUUUAUUACAUUUUAUGUGGAGUGAAUAAAUAAAAGUAUAUUUACGGUGGCCCCUACAGACAAAGCACGUACAAACUCCAAAACACAUAAAAAGACAGCAGACGUGCUCCAGGAUGCUGGGCGCAGUGUUGAGCUUUUGUUACCUCGUGGCUACACAAGCCAGCAAGUACCAACGACUGGAUUUGGUGUGUGGUAAUAACAGGUAAAUGAACAUUUUUUUAAAAUUAUUUGAAUAUAUAUGAGUGCUUGUGUAUAAAUACACAAACAAUACACACAUGCUUUCAAUUGUGUACUUUAAGUGAUCUAGGUAGCUGUGUUUUGUAGUUUGUACGUGCUUUGUCUCUAGGGGCCACCGUAAAUAUUUAUAUAUAAACAUAUAUAAAUAAAACCACUUUUUUUUACAUUAGUAAUUCCUUUUGUGCGUAAUUUUAUAUUAUUGUUAAUAAUAAACUAAUUAAAGCAACAAAACAACCUGAAGAGCCGGUUCGGAGCCGAAAGAGCCGGCUCUCUAAAAAGAGCCGGAAAUCCCAUCACUAGCACGUACAAUUGCCCAUAGCAUGUAAAAACUGUGGGAGCAUGGUAAGAGAAAUCUUAUCUCUGAAGGUGAAAGUAAAAGGCUUAGUAAGACUUAACAGAAACUACAUUCUUGCGAAAUAAGCUGACAUUGAUUUAAAAAAAAAAAAAAAAAGUCUCUCACAUAUAAAUCUGUUGUUAAUAUUUUCUCUUCACAGCAGCCAGAAUCUGACCUGUGACACACAAAAAAAUGGAGAACUGCUAUUUUAACCCACUCCCACUCUUUUCUUAAGCUUGAGCUUUAAGUAGUUCUGCGUUGUGAAAUAGAAACCACUGAUAGAUUGGUGAAGUGUCUCAGGCCAGCCAGUAUUUUAAUCCGCCCAGGCGUUUGGCAGCCUGUGCCCAUCAUAUCCCUCCUGCUGUUAGGUCAUUAAUUUGGUGGGAGCAGUGGGUCUUCCAAAACACUCUUAAUAGAGGCUGUCUGAUUCACACACAUGCACAUAUGCAGAAAAGCAAGCACUGCAUGACAACUGAAGACAGAAAAUGAAAAAGAGUUACAGUCAUAUCCUAAAAGGUUAAAGCCAAUCCUGCAGCUCCUGCAGAUUUAUUACACCGCAGCAUGGAUGCCCCGAAGUCAUGGAAGAGACUGAUUACUCCUGACACAUGUAAAUAUCAAAGUUAAUUGUGCAUUCCUAGUCUGUGUGCACAGUGUUUAGAAACG